rnacentral:tRNA from 1 species
AUCCCCUUAGCUCAGUGGUAGAGCAUAAAUGUCCCAGGUUCGAUUCCUGGAGGGGAUA